rnacentral:rRNA from 1 species
GAGUUUGAUCCUGGCUCAGAUUGAACGCUGGCGGCAUGCCUUACACAUGCAAGUCGAACGGCAGCACGGGAGCUUGCUCCUGGUGGCGAGUGGCGAACGGGUGAGUAAUGCAUCGGAACGUAUCCUGGAGUGGGGGGAUAACGUACGAAAGUUACGCUAAUACCGCAUAUUCUGUGAGCAGGAAAGCGGGGGACCUUUCGGGCCUCGCGCUCUUGGAGCGGCCGAUGUCGGAUUAGCUAGUUGGUGAGGUAAAGGCUCACCAAGGCGACGAUCCGUAGCAGGUCUGAGAGGAUGAUCUGCCACACUGGAACUGAGACACGGUCCAGGACUCCUACGGGAGGCAGCAGUGGGGAAUUUUUGGACAAUGGGGGCAACCCUGAUCCAGCCAUGCCGCGUGAGUGAAGAAGGCC